AGGCCGGCGGUGGACGGGCGCCUCGCCAACCUGGUCAGGUCCGGAAGGAAGCAGCCACAACGAGUUCCGCCCGGGUCAUUUGCCGGUCUUCC
rnacentral:SRP_RNA from 1 species